AUACGGAGGGUGCAAGCGUUGUUCGGAAUUACUGGGCGUAAAGCGCGCGUAGGCGGUCUGUUAUGUCAGAUGUGAAAGUCCUCGGCUCAACCGGGGAAGUGCAUUUGAAACUGGCAGACUUGAGUACUGGAGGGGGUGGUGGAAUUCCCGGUGUAGAGGUGAAAUUCGUAGAUAUCGGGAGGAAUACCGGUGGCGAAGGCGACCACCUGGCCAGAUACCGACGCUGAGGUGCGAAAGCGUGGGGAGCAAACAGGAUUAGAAACCCCAGUAGUCC
rnacentral:rRNA from 1 species